GCCGGUGUGGCUCAGUGGUUGAGCGUCAGCCUAUGAACCAGGACAUCCAGGUCCAAUUCCUGGUUAGGGCA
rfam:Myotis brandtii contig280747, whole genome shotgun sequence.